rnacentral:snRNA from 1 species
GUGCUCGCUUUGGCAGCACAUAUACUAAAACUGGAACGAUACAGAGAAGAUUAGCAUGGCCCCUGUGCAAGGAUGGCACGCAAAUUUGUGAAGCGUUCCAUAUUUUU